rnacentral:rRNA from 1 species
GACGAACGCUGGCGGCGUGCUUAACACAUGCAAGUCGAACGGUAAGGCCCUUCGGGGUACACGAGUGGCGAACGGGUGAGUAACACGUGGGUGAUCUGCCCUGCACUUCGGGAUAAGCCUGGGGAACUGGGUCUAAUACCGGAUAGGACCACUGCCUGCAUGGGUGGUGGUGGAAAGCUUUUGCGGUGUGGGAUGGGCCCGCGGCCUAUCAGCUUGUUGGUGGGGUGAUGGCCUACCAAGGCGACGACGGGUAGCCGGCCUGAGAGGGUGACCGGCCACACUGGGACUGAGAUACGGCCCAGACUCCUACGGGAGGCAGCAGUGGGGAAUAUUGCACAAUGGGCGCAAGCCUGAUGCAGCGACGCCGCGUGAGGGAUGACGGCCUUCGGGUUGUAAACCUCUUUCAGCACAGACGAAGCGCAAGUGACGGUAUGUGCAGAAGAAGGACCGGCCAACUACGUGCCAGCCGCCGCCGUAA